rnacentral:rRNA from 1 species
CUGAACAGCAACUUGGAAGAAUGUAUAGCAAUAGCUAAUUGUAAAAAAAAAAAUAUUUUUACAAUAUUGAGUAUAUCGAAUAAAAUUCUAGGUAGAUUUAUGAUAAUGACAUUGUCUAUCUAUGUGUCUUGACCAAAUUGCGUGCCAGCAGUCGCGGCAAUACGCAGAAGACUAGUGUUAUUCAUCUUUAAUUGGUUUAAAGCGUACCUAGACGGUAAAUAUAGCCUAAUAAAGGUACUUUUUUACUAGAGUUAUAUGUGAAAGUGUUUUAAAGUACUGUUGAGUUUAGAGAUGAAAUUCUUUGACACCAGAUAAUUGGCACAGGUAAAGGCGAAAGCAUCACUUUAUGUAAUAACUGACGUUGAGGGACGAAGGCUAUGUGUCGCGAACAGGAUUAGAUACCCCAGUAGUCUUAGCAGAAAAUUAUGAGUGUCAUAGAUUAGAUUUGAUUUGAUCUAUAAAUGAAAGUGUAAGCAUUCCACCUCAAGAGUAAUUUGGCAACAUUGGAACUGAAAUCAUUAGACCGUUUCUGAAACCAGUAGUGAAGUAUGUUGUUUAAUUUGAUAACCCGCAAAAAACCUUACCACAACUUGAAUAUAAAUCAUGUAUUUUUACAAGCGUUGCACGGCUGUCUUCAGUUAAUGUCGUGAGAUAUGGUUUGUUCCAUUUAAUUAACGUAAACCCUAGCUCUUUUUUUUAUAGAGUUGUUCGCCGCUAUAUUGGAAAUGUUAAAA